UGUGUGGAUAGCGCCGUGGAACCACCUGAUCCCAUGCCGAACUCAGAAGUGAAACGCGGUAGCGCCGAUGGUAGUGUGGCAUUCGCCAUGCGAGAGUAGGACACUGCCAGGCA
rnacentral:rRNA from 2 species